CUUUCAUAGUCUAAACACCUAGAAAUUAAUUACAGGAAUAUAUCUACCCUCUAACAUCUAUCUAUCUAAUGUCAGUUUUAGUAAGAGGGAUCAGAUAUUCACUUAGCAGAACAAUUUCCCCCUCCUUUGUUUGGAAACUUUUCUUUAGUUUGCUUUCCUUCUUCUUUAUGGUUUUGUGUCCUCUUGGCUAACUGCUCUCUGUAUUUCAUUCUGCUCCACUGGCUCCUUUGAAGUUAUUUAUGAUUUAAUUGUAUUUAUUCACUUAACACAGAUGCAUCUGUGUCCCAUUCCCAAUAGAAGGGUUUUCAUUUCAUCUCUGUCACUAAAUGCUAACGUCUCAUGCAUUUCUUACCUCUACAAGCCUUUUACAGUGUCGUUCCUAUGGUAACUUAAUGUGAUUCCUUUUAACAGAGCUUACAGUAUAAUCACUAGAGUUUUUAUUUGUAGUGCAGAGGUUCUUUUUCGUUUGUGUGUUUUGUUUUUGUUUGCUGCCUUGUAUCUGUGAUUGUAAAUUGCUUUAUAAUCCUAUUCUAAUGAACACUACACAGUUGAUGUCUGUUUCUACUUCAGGCAUGGCUUGGAAAUGUUUCAUCUGCUUUUCGUUUUUGUUUGUUGACAACAUGGUGGUGAAAAGGGUUGCUUCUUAAAUCCACAGCAAAUCUUUUGAUGAAAACCAUUGAUUUGCCCACUUCUCCACCUUCAUAUAUAAAUGCAGCUAGCAGUCUAAUAUAGAAUAGACUUAGCAUUCUCUAAACUAGGAGAAGACUUGCUCCCACUCCUUUUCACUCCCUUACUAACUCUUAUUGUCCCUGCCAUGGUUUGCAAAUCCAAGUCAAACCAUGGUAGUUCAAAAUGAAAAUAACAAUCAGAUCAUAACAACAAACAACUUAACAGGAGCUCUGAGCCCAGCAACUUGCGUCAUUUCAAGAAGGUCAUCAAAUCAGUUCCUUGUUCCAACAAAGUAAGAUUUCCCAAAAUUAAUUGCCUAUGGCUUAGCAGCACCACAUAUAUGCGCAGACUCCCCAGAGAGGAGCUUGUGGGUGCUUUGCACCUCUCUGGUCCUUUGUGCAGCUGCUUCGCAAGUCAUUGGAAAUUAGGCUUGUGGUUUAAGCUCUUUCCUCAUGAACCAUGGGCUGUUGUUUUGUUGCUAGUGUGUUUGGCAUAGUGUGAUGUGCAAACGAAGCUGUUUAGUUUUUAGUUCCACAAUGAAUUUGAGUUAUGUUAGCAAGAAUAUUCCCGAAUGACCUUAAUUCCAUCUCUUUUGGGUUAAUUGUUUGAUCCAGUUUGAAGAGACAACUUUUUCCAUAUUCCACUUCUUCAUACUAUCAUGGACACCUAAUCUCCAGAGAUUCCCUAAAUAACCAAGAUACCCAUGCCUUCAAAAUAUUUUUGAGUCUUAAGAGAAUUGGUGGACCUGACCCUGUUAAUUCACGGCAUUAGUUACCCCUGCCAAAUGAUGGUACAUCUAAGUUUCUCCAUGUUCAUGCCUCAUUCAUUGCCUAUAUAGCGACCGGUGCCAAGAAGCAUAUUCAAAAGGAAUAUUUUGUAAUGUGCAGGUCUAAAAAUUGGCAUUCUCCUUUAAUUCUGUAGAACUGUGUAAAUUUAAAAUGAUUACCAUACAAUAGCAGCUAGUCAGAAGUCACAAACUGAUAGGAGUUUUUAAUAUAUAUAUAUUUUGAGGUCAAGCAAGGUCAAAAUUCCAUUUGAUUGCAAUUGCCUUUCUACUUUCUUAAAAAAACAUUUAAACUAACACUGUUGAUAUCCAUUUUUUUAUGUAGACCUGUUCACUAGCCAAUAGUAUUAGUCAUCCAAAACACAUCAUAUGGAUUAAUGGAUAAGAAUUUUCUGGCAUCUUACUGCUAACAGUUUGAUACCAGCUGAUCUUUUUUCAAUUACACUUAUUUUUUAAUCUCUAAAUUUAAUCUAUUCAAAUGAUAAGCAAGUUUGAGAUUUCAGCAAGUCCAGUUGCUUAUCAAUAGAUCAUCCGGAUAAAACUCUUGGAUCUCACAAUUCUGCUUUAAGAACAAGUCCUCCAGUCCUUAAAGGUUGCAGUCCUGUGUGCAUCCAUCUUGGAACAGACCCACAACUACAUGGGGGCAUUUUGGGGCUCCCCGCUAGUAUAAAAGUAGCAGACCCCAGUCAGAAGCUCAUCCCUUCCCCCAUAAUGUUGGUGACGGCUAAUGUUUCAAUGGCAACUGGGUUGCCUUCAUUG
rnacentral:lncRNA from 1 species